AUAGAGGAGAGUUGAAACAUCAGAUAUGUAUCUUACAUUUAAAAAGAAAAAAAAGCAAUACAGACUGGACUGCUGUAGUCUGCAUGCACAGAAAGAGGCAAUCCUUCAGUUAUUGUUAUUUACAGAGGAACUGGAAUUACACUUGCUUGCAAACAGAUGAGAAGACAGGUCACCUUCCUGAAGGUGCAGCCUGGAUAGAGCACAUACAGAGGAGAGAGAUGUCUGGAGUGAGUUUACAAAAAAGACUUUCUGCAUUUCCUGCUGCUCUGCCUAGGAGGUGAAGAGGAAUAAUCUUCUUGGAAACCACAGGAAGCAAGUGAUAGUCUUUUACUACCAGAAAGAUCUGAAAACUUUGUGAAAAUGGUACUGUUUAAUACUUUUCCAUGACAAAGGUUAGCUCCUACAUGUGUGUGUUGGUUGAAUAAAACAUUUUCCUAUUACA
rnacentral:lncRNA from 1 species